AGAGUUUGAUCAUGGCUCAGAUUGAACGCUGGCGGCAGGCCUAACACAUGCAAGUCGAACGGUAACAGGAAGCAGCUUGCUGCUUUGCUGACGAGUGGCGGACGGGUGAGUAAUGUCUGGGAAACUGCCUGAUGGAGGGGGAUAACUACUGGAAACGGUGGCUAAUACCGCAUAACGUCGCAAGACCAAAGAGGGGGACCUUCGGGCCUCUUGCCAUCAGAUGGCCCAGAUGGGAUUAGCUUGUUGGUGAGGUAACGGCUCACCAAGGCGACGAUCCCUAGCUGGUCUGAGAGGAUGACCAGCCACACUGGAACUGAGACACGGUCCAGACUCCUACGGGAGGCAGCAGUGGGGAAUAUUGCACAAUGGGCGCAUGCAGCCAUGCCGCGUGUAUGAAGAAGGCCUUCGGGUUGUAAAGUACUUUCAGCGGGGAGGAAGGUGUUGUGGUUAAUAACCGCAGCAAUUGACGUUACCCGCAGAAGAAGCACCGGCUAACUCCGUGCCAGCAGCCGCGGUAAUACGGAGGGUGCAAGCGUUAAUCGGAAUUACUGGGCGUAAAGCGCACGCAGGCGGUCUGUCAAGUCGGAUGUGAAAUCCCCGGGCUCAACCUGGGAACUGCAUUCGAAACUGGCAGGCUUGAGUCUUGUAGAGGGGGGUAGAAUUCCAGGUGUAGCGGUGAAAUGCGUAGAGAUCUGGAGGAAUACCGGUGGCGAAGGCGGCCCCUGGACAAAGACUGACGCUCAGGUGCGAAAGCGUGGGGAGCAAACAGGAUUAGAUACCCUGGUAGUCCACGCCGUAAACGAUGUCUACUUGGAGGUUGUGCCCUUGAGGCGUGGCUUCCGGAGCUAACGCGUUAAGUAGACCGCCUGGGGAGUACGGCCGCAAGGUUAAAACUCAAAUGAAUUGACGGGGGCCCGCACAAGCGGUGGAGCAUGUGGUUUAAUUCGAUGCAACGCGAAGAACCUUACCUGGUCUUGACAUCCACAGAACUUUCCAGAGAUGGAUUGGUGCCUUCGGGAACUGUGAGACAGGUGCUGCAUGGCUGUCGUCAGCUCGUGUUGUGAAAUGUUGGGUUAAGUCCCGCAACGAGCGCAACCCUUAUCCUUUGUUGCCAGCGGUCCGGCCGGGAACUCAAAGGAGACUGCCAGUGAUAAACUGGAGGAAGGUGGGGAUGACGUCAAGUCAUCAUGGCCCUUACGACCAGGGCUACACACGUGCUACAAUGGCGCAUACAAAGAGAAGCGACCUCGCGAGAGCAAGCGGACCUCAUAAAGUGCGUCGUAGUCCGGAUUGGAGUCUGCAACUCGACUCCAUGAAGUCGGAAUCGCUAGUAAUCGUGGAUCAGAAUGCCACGGUGAAUACGUUCCCGGGCCUUGUACACACCGCCCGUCACACCAUGGGAGUGGGUUGCAAAAGAAGUAGGUAGCUUAACCUUCGGGGGGGCGCUUACCACUUUGUGAUUCAUGACUGGGGUGAAGUCGUAACAAGGUAACCGUAGGGGAACCUGCGGUUG
rnacentral:rRNA from 1 species